rnacentral:rRNA from 1 species
UACGUAGGGUGCAAGCGUUAAUCGGAUUUACUGGGCGUAAAGCGUGCGCAGGCGGUCUGUUAAGACCGAUGUGAAAUCCCCGGGCUUAACCUGGGAACUGCAUUGGUGACUGGCAGGCUUUGAGUGUGGCAGAGGGGGGGUAGAAUUCCACGUGUAGCAGUGAAAUGCGUAGAGAUGUGGAGGAAUACCGAUGGCGAAGGCAGCCCCCCUGGGCCAACACUGACGCUCAUGCACGAAAGCGUGGGGGGAGCAAACAGG